AGUUGGGCCUAGGGUGUGGGGACCAUUCCACGGGUUUCCGCGCCGCAGCUAACGCAUUAAGUGCCCCGCCUGGGGAGUACGGCCGCAAGGCUAAAACUCAAAGGAAUUGACGGGGGCCCGCACAAGCGGCGGAGCAUGCGGAUUAAUUCGAUGCAACGCGAAGAACCUUACCAAGGCUUGACAUGUUCUCGAUCGCCGUAGAGAUACGGUUUCCCCUUUGGGGCGGGUUCACAGGUGGUGCAUGGUUGUCGUCAGCUCGUGUCGUGAGAUGUUGGGUUAAGUCCCGCAACGAGCGCAACCCUCGUUCCAUGUUGCCAGCACGUCGUGGUGGGGACUCAUGGGAGACUGCCGGGGUCAACUCGGAGGAAGGUGAGGACGACGUCAAAUCAUCAUGCCCCUUAUGUCUUGGGCUUCACGCAUGCUACAAUGGCCGGUACAAUGGGUUGCGAUACUGUGAGGUGGAGCUAAUCCCAAAAAGCCGGUCUCAGUUCGGAUUGGGGUCUGCAACUCGACCCCAUGAAGUCGGAGUCGCUAGUAAUCGCAGAUCAGCAACGCUGCGGUGAAUACGUUCCCGGGCCUUGUACACACCGCCCGUCAAGUCACGAAAGUUGGUAACACCCGAAGCCGGUGGCCUAACCCUUGUGGGGGGAGCCGUCGAAGGUGGGACCAGCGAUUGGGACUAAGUCGUAACAAGGGUAACCGUAGCG
rnacentral:rRNA from 1 species